rnacentral:rRNA from 1 species
UACUGAGGGUGCAAGCGUUAUCCGGAUUCACUGGGUUUAAAGGGAGCGCAGGCGGGCUGGUAAGUCAGUGGUGAAAGCCUUGAGCUUAACUCGAGAACUGCCAUUGAUACUAUCAGUCUUGAAUAUUGUUGAGGUUUGCGGAAUGGGUCAUGUAGCGGUGAAAUGCAUAGAUAUGACCCGGAACACCUAUUGCGAAGGCAGCAGGCUAAACAAAGAUUGACGCUGAGGCUCGAAAGCGUGGGGAUCAAACAGG